AUCCGGGGCCUUGGUCCACGACGCCUAGAGAAAACUCGUUCCGGGCCUUGGUGCAUCUGCGACUGAAAAACAAAUCCAGACUCCUACGGUAGGCGAUAGGGGGGAAUAUUGCACAAUGGGUGGAAGCCUGAUGCAGCAACGCCGCGUGAGGGAUGACGGCCUUCGGGUUGUAAACCUCUUUUAGCAGGGAAGAAGCGAGAGUGACGGUACCUGCAGAAAAAGCGCCGGCUAACUACGUGCCAGCAGCCGCGGUAAUACGUAGGGCGCAAGCGUUAUCCGGAAUUAUUGGGCGUAAAGAGCUCGUAGGCGGUUUGUCGCGUCUGCUGUGAAAUCCCGAGGCUCAACCUCGGGCCUGCAGUGGGUACGGGCAGACUAGAGUGCGGUAGGGGAGAUUGGAAUUCCUGGUGUAGCGGUGGAAUGCGCAGAUAUCAGGAGGAACACCGAUGGCGAAGGCAGAUCUCUGGGCCGUAACUGACGCUGAGGAGCGAAAGGGUGGGGAGCAAACAGGCUUAGAUACCCUGGUAGUCCACCCCGUAAACGUUGGGAACUAGUUGUGGGGACCAUUCCACGGUUUCCGUGACGCAGCUAACGCAUUAAGUUCCCCGCCUGGGGAGUACGGCCGCAAGGCUAAAACUCAAAGGAAUUGACGGGGACCCGCACAAGCGGCGGAGCAUGCGGAUUAAUUCGAUGCAACGCGAAGAACCUUACCAAGGCUUGACAUACACCAGAACACCGUAGAAAUACGGGACUCUUUGGACACUGGUGAACAGGUGGUGCAUGGUUGUCGUCAGCUCGUGUCGUGAGAUGUGGGUUAAGUCCCGCAACGAGCGCAACCCUCGUUCUAUGUUGCCAGACGUAAUGGUGGGAACUCAUGGGAUACUGCCGGGGUCCACUCGGAGGAAGGUGGGGGAUGACGUCAAAUCAUCAUGCCCCUUAUGUCUUGGGUUCACGCAUGCUACAAUGGCCGGAUACAAAGGGGUGGUAAUA
rnacentral:rRNA from 1 species